CGGGGCCGCGCCACCCGGCAGCACCCCGGCGUGGGACCGCGCGGAGCGAGCCCAGCCCGCCGCGGCGGACGGUGUGGCGGUGGAGACGCGGGGGCACCCGAAGGAAGCUGCUGUCCUGAGGGACAAGAUGUUGCUCGCCAGCCGUAACGCACCUCGCUGCACAGCAGCUCCCACCAGGAGCCGAAACUCGGCCAGGAGCCAUGUGCCAGGCCCCGUCACCUCUCACCUGCCUCACCCCACGGGCCGAGGCUCCCGGCCGGGCACCAGCCCCGACCUCUGCGUCUUUCAAAACGUACCCCUCUGCCUUGAGUUAGGCUAAAGUGCAGACAUAACGGAAUUCAAACCCAAUUUUCAGUUUUUCCUUCCUUAAAACUAACAGUCUUCUGCAAGAACGUGAGAUACACAGCAAAGUCAAUUCUGGGACAAAACCUUUUAAUUUAUGAGUGCCACUUAGAGAGAAGUGAUCUGAUACCUCAACCAAGACUUAUUUAAGGACUUGAUCUCAGAGAAGACUUCUCAGACUUUACCUAAGCAAAUUACACCAGGAAAUUGCUAGUACUUAGGCAUGAAGUAAACCAGUGCUAGUUCACUCUGCAAUAUUAAUAUUUAGCAGCUGGCAUAGAAACUAUUUGCAAGGUUAAAAACAAAACAUACUCAUAAUCCCACAAUCCAUACAAUAGCAUAAGUGAACAUACACCUCAUUUCCUGGUAAGUAUAUCCUGCUGCAGUAUGCUGCUUUUAAAACCUGCCAAGUUAAAGAAAUUCAGUCGCUUUGUUUAUACUCAUUUGCAUCCACUUAAUACAAACCCUUGCUACCCUUACAAAAACAUAUAUAAACAAGCAUUCUUUCUGCACUUUUGCUUGCAAACUGUUGCCUGCAAGUCAUUCCGCUGAUAUGGUUGGGACUCCUUGUUUAAAUAAAGCAUCAGUUGCUAUGACUAGGGUAACAGGAGACGAAGAGGAAGAUCCCGUUCAUUACAUCUUCUCUUAGACAUGCAGUUUAAAUAAAAGACCAAGAUGUCUUUUAAACUGUCGUAGAUGAUGAAAAAUAAUCAGAUCUUUGCAGUAUCUUGCCACAUGUUAAAAGGCACCUCACACAUGUAGGACAGUGCCUUAAAAGCACCUGGCUCACCAGCUGAUCAUACAUUGAAAUGCACAGCUGGGUUACCAUAACUACAUAGUCUCUGGUGAGCUCUACCAAGAAAGCUCUCCCCUGUCUCAAUGUUGCCCAGUGCCAGUCCCAGUUAAAUAUACAUAUGUCCAAAUAGACAAAGAUUAAGGGAUAGCACUAACAUUUAUUAAGAAUGAAUACAUGGAAAAUUAGAAUAGUAAAGUAAAACAGCAGCAAUGCAAGAGUUCAGGGUUCCAUACUUAAAAUCCUUAUGGUAAGCAAGAAGGGAGUCCCUGGGACAGAUGGUAGCGUGGCAGCUUCUGUGCAGAAAGUCUCCCCAAAGCAUCUGACAAUUCUGGGGUCUUUGUAGCCAAUUUUUAUACUUUCUGGGGAGAGAUGUGGUAAUCAUCACUCUUGUGCACAGAGUUCUGGUAAUCACACAGACAGUUGUGGUUUUGUUGUCCUACACAGCUACAUGGCUGUGAUCAAUUCCAUAUAUGGAUUAAUUUACAUAAUUGUGGCUCAUUUGUAACACUCAGCUAGCCCUUUAGCUCUGUUACUGCCGACCUGUAUCAAGAGUCACAAUCAUGGGCACGUUUUAGCAACAGUAAUGUCCAGGUUUAAGGCCUGGCGCAGGCCAAAGCCCACUGUCAUCCUGUAUCACUGAGGGACCAAGAGUGAGUGGGCACAUACUGCAGGACUCCCCACUGGAGCACUCAUUAAACAGCACCUGCUGCGUGGCAGAAAUGAGUACCCGCUGCAAAAUACAGGAAAGCAGAGUGUGAAUUCUACAGAUCAUCUCCAGAUGAGACUAUAUAACUUUAAAAAUACAUGUAGCUGGUGUAUUUCCCCUCUGCAGUUCAUAGAAAACUUGCUUUCUCAAUGUGUUAGAGCUGACACUGAUUUGAAAGUAACCCUUUCCUUGUGAAGCCACCUUGCUUCACUGUUACCAGUUUAUAGUAUCACAGCAGGACAGAACAUCUUCAUUAAUAUUUUUUAGAAACUUCAAACAUACUCUAAAAGAAUUCCCUUAUUACACAGCAUCAUAAAUGUACAUACUGCUCUUCCUUGAAUGCCCUGCAAUAAAACUUCAUGGUCCAGUGGCCAGAUGGAUAACCUUUCUCUCAUCAUGGUAAGCAGUCAGCUCAGUGUCACCCACCCAGAAUGUUCAAAAUUAAAUCCAACCCAAAUAGUACUGAAUAAGUAUUAGUCAUUCUUUUGAAAAAAUACAAUAAAUAUUAGAUCUUUCUUUUCUAGUUUUCAGGAGCAGAAUAGUCUGCUAUCAAGGUUUCUUACA